ensembl:snRNA U6 U6 spliceosomal RNA
GUGCCUUGGCAGCACAUAUACUAAAUUAGAACAAUACAGAGAAGAUUAGCAUGGCCCCUGUGCAAGGAUGAUAUGCAAAUUCAUGAAGCAUUCCAUACUUUU